rnacentral:lncRNA from 1 species
GGGCAUCUGUGGAGAACACGGUGGGGAGCCUUCGUCAGUUGCAUUCUUUGCAAAGUCGGGGCUGGAUUAUGUUUCUUGCUCGCCUUUCAGGUUGGUCAAGUGAUAAACUCAAGAUACAACUCCCAGAUUCAUAACUGUAGCAAAACCUUAACUACUUUUUAUGAAAUAUCUUGUGCAGGGUUCCCAUCGCCAGGCUAGCUGCAGCUCAGGUGCUCGUCUGAGGGCACCGCCUCAUCGGCAACCGGAUCACCUGCUGUUGGUGCGUCUGGUGAAGAAUACUAAUACAAAGCCAUGGAACGGUGGAACUCUGCUGCCUGGCAAAGGCCGUUGUAUCUUGUAUGAAGUCUCCGUGCGCGUGCGCAUGUAAGACUUAAUGUGUGGUUUUCUGCAUUUUCCCUUGAACUACCAUGGUAAUGUAGUACCAAACAGAGAUGAUGACGAAGAACAAUCGAAUAAAUUAAUUGGCGAUUAC